UACAUAGGGGGCGAGCGUUGUCCGGAAUUAUUGGGCGUAAAGAGCUCGUAGGCGGUUCGGCAAGUCACGUGUGAAAUCUCCACGCUCAACGUGGAGGCGCCACGUGAGACUGCUGUGACUCGAGUCCGGUAGGGGAGCGUGGAAUUCCCGGUGUAGCGGUGAAAUGCGCAGAGAUCGGGAGGAACACCCGUAGCGAAGGCGGCGCUCUGGGCCGGUACUGACGCUGAGGAGCGAAAGCGUGGGGAGCAAACAGG
rnacentral:rRNA from 1 species